rnacentral:rRNA from 1 species
UACGUAGGGUGCUAAGCGUUAAUCGGAAUUACUGGGCGUAAAGCGUGCGCAGGCGGUUUUGUAAGUCUGUCGUGAAAUCCCCGGGCUCAACCUGGGAAUUGCGAUGGAGACUGCAAGGCUAGAAUCUGGCAGAGGGGGGUAGAAUUCCACGUGUAGCAGUGAAAUGCGUAGAGAUGUGGAGGAACACCGAUGGCGAAGGCAGCCCCCUGGGUCAAAACUGACGCUCAUGCACGAAAGCGUGGGGAGCAAACGAGG